rnacentral:rRNA from 1 species
GGAGCCAUCCUUGGGAUACCACCCUUGUAGUACUGGGACUCUAACCAUAGGCCAUGAAUCUGGUCUUGGGACACUGUCAGGUGGGCAGUUUGACUGGGGCGGUCGCCUCCCAAAAGGUAACGGAGGCGCUCAAAGGUUCUCUCAGUACGGUCGGAAAUCGUACGUAGAGUGUAAAGGCAAAAGAGAGCUUGAUUGCAAGACAUACAGGUCGAGCAAGGAUGAAAAUCGGACUUAGUGAUCCGGUGGUUCUGCGUGGAAGGGCCAUCGCUCAACGGAUAAAAGCUACCCUGGGGAUAACAGGCUUAUCUCCCCCAAGAGUCCACAUCGACGGGGAGGUUUGGCACCUCGAUGUCGGCUCAUCACAUCCUGGGGCUGUAGUAGGUCCCAAGGGUUGGGCUGUUCGCCCAUUAAAGUGGUACGCGAGCUGGGUUCAGAACGUCGUGAGACAGUUCGGUCCCUAUCCGUCGCAGGCGUAGGAAAUUUGAGAAGACCUGUCCUUAGUACGAGAGGACCGGGAUGGACGUACCUCUGGUGUACCAGUUGU